rnacentral:tRNA from 1 species
CAAAGCGUAGUUUAGACAAAACCCCUUGCUUACACCAAGAAGUCGCUGAUUAACUCAGCCGCCUUGA